rnacentral:rRNA from 1 species
CGCGGUAAUUUGACCGUGCUAAGGUAGCAUAAUCAUUUGUCUUUUAAUUGAAGACUGGAAUGAAAGGUAGAACGAGAGAUAUACUGUCUUAAUAAAAUAAAUUGAAAUUUAUUUUUCAGUGAAAAAGCUGAAAUAAUUUUGUGGGACGAUAAGACCCUAUAGAUCUUAAUUAUUAUUAAUAUUUAUUUAUUAUAAUUAAUUUUAUUGGGGCGAUGAAAAGAAAGUAUUAUCUCUUUUAUAAUGAAAAUAUUUAUUUAUAGAUUCAUUAAUGAUCCUAGAUGAUGGAAAAUUAGAAUAAGUUACCUUAGGGAUAACAGCGUUAUAUUUUUUGAGAGUUCUUAUCGAAAGAAAUGUUUGCGACCUCGAUGUU